GUACGAAGAACGGGCCCCCGAUCUGAAUCAAAUGUUUUGGACCCGCCUUCAAGUCGCCAAACCCGCGUGACUGUCAAAUUAGUUUAGGUGCCGCCCAGAGGAUCAGUUCCGCGGUCGGCGCCAUCAAACAGCUGAUUCCUGGAGUAACCCCAGAGUGCAGUCUGGACGAUGGGGCGGGGCGACACUUCGAGGCGGAGCGACACGUGUCGCCCCGCCCAUAUUUGUUUUCCCCGCCUUUGACAUGUUCCUCCGAGCCAGCAGGGGGCAGUUUGCGUUGAAACAAACAGAACGGUGGCAACUACAGCAGCAGAGUAAUAACGCUAUUCCGUUGAUUGCUUGAGUACACUCUGUACAUGGCUUUAGUUCAUAGGUUCGAUUUUACAGAGGAUGACAUGAUCAGGAGGUGGUGGUGUUCUGUUCUCCUGGACAGCUUUACUCCGCAAAUAGCUCAACCUCUGAGGGGAGGAACUUCACCAUUCACCAUGUCUUCAGGCAGAGUCCAGCAAAGCAGUUGUGGCCAACUGGAAGAAUUGUCCUCCUGUCUCCUGACCGGAACGAGUUCAGACGGAUGUACAGCAUCAGGGAACACUUGCAGUGCAGAGCGUUUUUCAAGUUUAACCCACCAGGGUACAGAGAAGAGGCCGGCUUGGUGAUCUUCUGGGCUUUUGUUUACACAGGAUUUUGUUCCAAGGACUGUUUUUUUUUUUUUUUUUUUUUUGCGGCAUGAAACACAUUUGUGUGUUUAGUUAAUUGAAGGGAAAUAGAGAAUGGACUGAGAUCAACUGGUUUUGAUGUAUUAAUUGAUGUCAUUUAAAGUUAAACUUUGCAAUGUAUAAUGUUUUAAUAAAAAAGCUAUGGAAAACACGUGCAUGACAACAGAUUUCAGUCAUUUACAUCAGUCUAUCAUUCUUUAAGGUUUCUCAUAUUUGAUGAUAACAUCAUUUGCUAUGCAUUGCUCAUAAUGGAUUCUUAAUUUAGUUGUGACAGGAUUGUGAGGAUUAAUGAGGUUUUCAGUAGUGCAGUUCAGAAAACAAAUAACAGAAAGUAACAAGUGUUUUUGGGCAAGUUCUUUAGAACCUGUAUAGUUCCUAUAGUUCCUAACCAUGGAUGUAUUGUAGUAAAAAUAUUUGUUGGCAUAUUAAUUACUGUGAGCUGUAAUUAUAAAAACACCAUAGUUUUACUAUAGUUACUGUAGCAGAACCAUGGUAAAUUUUCGUAGGGGCCAAGGGAAUGUUCAGAAUAUUAUGACGUUCAGAGACUGGUGACAAUUUGUUACACACACACACACACAUGUAUAUAUAUAUAUAUAUAUAUAUAUAUAUAUAUAUAUAGAUAUAUAUAUAGAUAUAUAUGUAUGUAUGUAUAUAUAAUUUGAAUAUAUAAAUCAAGGUACUCCAUGACUAUCUACAUAAUCAUACUUCGCAUAAUAUUGCCGUGUC
rnacentral:lncRNA from 1 species